rnacentral:rRNA from 1 species
GGAGGGUGCGAGCGUUGUUCGGAAUCACUGGGCGUAAAGCGCGUGUAGGCGGCCCGUUAAGUCUGAUGUGAAAGCCCGGGGCUCACCCCCGGAAGGGCAUUGGAAACUGGCGGACUAGAGUCUCGGAGAGGAGGGUGGAAUUCCUGGUGUAGCGGUGAAAUGCGUAGAUACCAGGAGGAACACCGGUGGCGAAGGCGGCCCUCUGGACGAUGACUGACGCUGAGACGCGAAAGCGUGGGGAGCAAACAGGAUUAGAUACCCUGGUAGUCCACGCCGUAAACGAUGAGCACUAGGUGUCGCGGGUAUUGACCCCCUGCGGUGCCCGCCGCUAACGCAUUAAGUGCUCCGCCUGGGGACUACGGCCGCAAGGCUA